rnacentral:rRNA from 1 species
AGUGAACGCUGGCGGUAGGCCUAACACAAGCAAGUCGAACGGCAGCACAGGAGAGCUUGCUCUCUGGGUGGCGAGUGGCGGACGGGUGAGGAAUACAUCGGAAUCUACUCUGUCGUGGGGGAUAACGUAGGGAAACUUACGCUAAUACCGCAUACGACCUACGGGUGAAAGCAGGGGACCUUCGGGCCUUGCGCGAUUGAAUGAGCCGAUGUCGGAUUAGCUAGUUGGCGGGGUAAAGGCCCACCAAGGCGACGAUCCGUAGCUGGUCUGAGAGGCUGAUCAGCCACACUGGAACUGAGCCAGGGUCCAGACUCCGACGGGAGGCAGCAGUGGGUAAUAUUGGACAUUGGGCGCAAGCCUGAUCCAGCCAUACCGCGUGGGUGAAGAAGGCCUUCGGGUUGUAAAGCCCUUUUGUUGGGAAAGAAAUCCAGCUGGCUAAUACCCGGUUGGGAUGGCGGUACCCAAAGAAUAAGCACCGGCUAACUUCAUGCCAGCCGCCGCCGUAA